rnacentral:lncRNA from 1 species
UAACGCGAAGGUGAACCAAUAGCCCUGUGUGUCUUUCUUCCGUGGGGGGCCACGCACCUCAAGCCCGACCAUGACUCGUUGCCCGGAACCAGGAUGACCCCACAGAAGGCCUCCCUGUUACCCUGCCCUGCCUUCAAGCUGCUCCAGAUUCUUAAGGCCUAGCAAGUGUCUCUGUUGGGGGUGUUUUCCAGCCCUUGAGCCUGCCGCCCUGACCCUCCUGGAGCUGAGACCCCUCCCCAGCCCGUGAACCUGGCCAGGAGUGUGUAUUACCACCUUAGCCAGGGAAAUGGCUGUCACUCCGGAGACCGGGAGUCAGCUGGAGUUCUCCUCCUGGGAU